UAGAGGCACUCGCUCGCAACGCCCGGGCAGCACCUAGGCACUGAUGCUCCUUCUAACAGCAGCUCUGGGCAUGACAGUGCCUCUGCCACCUGCUACCUGGUGCCGUAGGCAAAUUAAUCACCAAGUCUAGGAUCAGCCCCAGUCCUCCCUCCUUCCUCAGUUCCCAAUGCCGUGCUGUCCAGACUGCUACUUCUCCUUCUGAUCCCAAAAUUCUCUGAAAGUAGGAAGAAGGAAAUCGGAGGAGGUGAUUAUCACUGAAUCUGGUCCCUGUGACUUCUGGCUCUUCCCCAAACUCAAGAUGACCACGGAAGAGAAAUGCAUUGAACUGAAGCAGCCAUGAAAAUGCAGCUAAGGACAUUUGCAAAAGAAGACUUCCAAGACUGCUUCAAACAGUGGCAAAUAUGGUGGGGUGAAUGUGCCCAAAGAGAGGAGCAGUAUUUUGAAGAUUAUGGCAAUGUCUUUUACUGUGAUAAUUUUUUUUUUUCCAGUUUUAACAUGAAGUGUACUUUGGUCUUCUGAUGCUGCCUACUUGGUAAUCCGGUCUUCCUUCCUUUUUAGAAAUACAGUAUCAAGUUUCAUGUGGAAGAGCUUUUAAAACUACAUUUCCCAGCCUGCUCUGCAACCAAGAGUGAACAUUUGAAUAGACUUGGUCCAGAGCCAUGUCAGAGGUUACCCAAUGGGACGUCACGGAGAGGUCCUUGGAGGUGGAAGGUGGAGGCCAGGCACCCCCAUGGCUGUCCUGGAUUUUUCUGCAAUCUGCUUUCCUGAGCACACUCCGCUUGGCUUCUCAGCUCACUCACAGCCCUAUUAUUCAAAUUCCAGCCAGUUGAAGUCAAGUUGUCCCAAAGCCCACGGAAUCUCUGCCCCAGAGUUCCAUGUCGGAGCCCAGGAGCCUCCUCGGCUAGAGCUGUAAUCGAUUGCUCAGUUGGAUGUGUGAUGGCUGCAUGUUCUCAGCCCAAUUCUCUCCUCCUGCCUCAUAUCCCCUGGAGACCCCGUGCCCCUCCUAAGAGCCACGUGUGUCUUAUCUCUUCCAAUGCAGUUGCUAAAACCAGAAAGCAGGCUGGAACACAUUUCCCUGCAGUGCACUGUUUCUCAUCAUUUCUUCCUGACACUUCCAGAUAACUUAGUGUACUGUCUUCUCCUAUUCAGCACAGCCUGCCCCCCUCACCCCCCACCCCCGCCCCGGGUGCUUGGGGAUUUCAUGACAUCACCCAGUGAUUUAUAAUUAGAAGCAAAAAUGCCAAAUCCACAGCACUCGGGGACCACUGAAGCAAUGUGAAAAGCUGCUACCAAUCCCCAACGGACUACUAGAUCAGGGUGUGACCAGGGAAGCACAAGAAACACAAAAAUAACCUCUCUGAUGGCCAAAGCCACUUGCACGGACUGAUGCCACAGACCUGAGCCAGCCUCAGUCCACACACAGGAAACAUCCCUGACUCCUGGCUUGCCCCCGACUAAACUGCAUUUCUCAGAGCUCCUGAGCGCCUCUGAGAGGAGUUUGAAUUUCCUCCACGGUGGAGGCAGGGCACAGUCACUUUUGAGGGGAUUUGGCUUAGUUUUGUCUUUUGGGGGGACUGAGUUCAAAGCCUCACGCUUUGCUAGGCAAAGAUCACCACCAAGUCACAUCCUAGGCUCACUUCUAAAUAUUUUGAGACAGGAUCUAAGUUGCCAAGGCUGGCCUCAAGUUUGCAGUCCUACAGCAUCAGCCUUCGGAGUAGCUGGGAUUACAGGCACCACCAUGUUCAGCUCUCAGUGACUUCAGAUGGUCUGAGAUUUAGGUCAGCAGCAUAAAUGCCUGCCUGGCAAGUGUGAUGUUGUGAGUUUGAUCCCUGACACACACACAGAGAAAAAAAAAAAAACAAGCUUUGGGCCUCAGCUGCUGUUUUGAGGCGCCAUAGGAACCUGGAUUCACUGCAAGCAGCUCACUAUCGCCUUCUUCCUCUCCAAAUGUCCUGAGAAUCGGGCAACUAGCCCAGUUUUUGCCAGGACUUCCCCAGACCCUAUACUUUUUGUUUUAAUUUUAAUAAACUAAAAUAGCCCUGCCCAGUAAUCUCCUUGGCUCCUCACCCCCACCUCCGGUUGCUCCCUGCCUAUUACAAUCGAAUAACUUCGAUAAAAUGAGCAAAAAUUUUUUGCAACCCUGGGCGCUGCACCCCGGAAGCGCGUCCACGCUCUGCGUCCCCGGCAGGGGGCAGCUGUGCCUAAGACUCCCGCCGGGGCUGUUUACACAAUCACUUGCGAAAUUUUUUUUUUCUUUUUUUCUUCAAGUGAUACUUUUUUUUUUUUUUUUUUUUUUUUUUUUUUUUUUUUUUUUUGUGGGCGGCAAGCCGAGGUGCCAGCUAACCCAGGUCACGUUCAGGACAAGCCGCGCGCCGGGGACCCGGACUCCUACCCGGGCGCAGCGCGGCCCCGGCGGCGCGGACACCAUUUUGCUCGGCGCCUCCGGGCGGGGAGCUGGCGCCGCGCUGGCACCGGCCGGCAGCUCGGGCACCGCGGGGCGCAGCGCGCGGGGCGGCCACUCCGGGCGCGCCCGGGGAACGGGGCGCGCGGCGGGCGCAGCGCACAGCCCCGCGGCUCCCAUGCUGCAGCAGCGGCGCCACAAAAUGGUGGUGGCCUGGAAGGGGAGGUACUGGGGCGGCCCGGGUGCAAGGGCUCGGGCUCGGGCUGCGGACCCCCGGGCCGGCUCCCGGCUCCGCGUCGGCACCGCCGCCCCGUCCUCCCGCUGGGUCGCGAGGUCCCGGCUGGGCCCGCGCGCUCUGCGCCUCCGCGGCUCGUUCCUGCCCCUGCAGUUUGCGGUUCGUGUUUCUGCACCCAGGGGACGCGGUGCGGAGGCAAGUUGCAAGGCUGGGUCACUUUACUUGUGUCUUUUAAUGCACUGCGCAUAUUUGUUAAAUUAAAAACCUCCUUGCUCAUUGAA